AUAAGGUUAAGUUAAUAAGGGCGCACGGUGGAUGCCUUGGCACUAGGAGCCGAUGAAGGACGUGACAAACGACGAAAUGCCUUGGGGAGCUGUAAGUAAGCGAUGAUCCAGGGAUGUCCGAAUGGGGGAACCCAACAGGUACUACCUGUUACCCAUAUCUGUUAAGGAUAUGAGGAGGAAGACGCAGUGAACUGAAACAUCUAAGUAGCUGCAGGAAGAGAAAGCAAAAGCGAUUGCCUUAGUAGCGGCGAGCGAAACGGCAGGAGGGCAAACCGAAGAGUUUACUCUUCGGGGUUGUAGGACUGCAAUGUGGACUCAAAGAUUAUAGAAGAAUGACUUGGGAAGGUCAGCCAAAGAGAGUAAGAGCCUCGUAUUCGAAAUAGUCUUUAUACCUAGCAGUAUCCUGAGUACGGCGAGACACGAGAAAUCUCGUCGGAAUCUGGGAGGACCAUCUCCCAACCCUAAAUACUCUCUAGUGACCGAUAGUGAACCAGUACCGUGAGGGAAAGGUGAAAAGC
rnacentral:rRNA from 1 species